ensembl:lncRNA
CUGCCUUCUGACUGAACAGAUCCUCUCUCCCCAAUUUGCUUUGUUAAGCUAAAUCCCUCUGCUUUAUUUCAAAUGGGAUUUGCCCCCAAGCAAGUAUCUUUAAAGGGAUCAUCUUGGUUAAAGUAAUUCCUAGAGCACAGAAUCCCUGAAGCGCAGUGCAUUGCAGAGAGCUAUUCUUUUGCACAGCACCAGGUGCUUUUGCUCAAGAUUUGGGCAGCAUGUGGAUGACUGUCUCCUUAAAAUAGGCUACAAACCGUCAUGUUUGCUUGUCGUCAUUCAUCUUCAAUGAGAAUUACCCUCAAAUCACGUGCAAAUCACGUGCACUUUUUGUUUGAGCAGCAGAAGUCUGUGUGAUGAGAUCUGGGGCUCCUGACUCAUGCCUAAUCCUGGUCAUAUUCCUUCAGAUGCCCCAGACCUCUUUUUCACACGUGUAAAAGAGGGUUGCUAGCAUUUUUCACACUCCUGAGGCUACAAAAAGAAACCAGUGGUGUUGGCAUGCUUAGAUCCCCAUCUUAAAGAUGCUGAAUUCACAGGAUUAGCUCUGAUACAUCAGGAAAAGGGGUUGAGUGAUGCUAGGUUCGGUGGGAGGUUGCUGCAGUUACUCCUGCUUGCACUGCGCGUGGCAGAGCUACAUCAGGGCCUCCAUUCAGCCUCAGCAUAUCCAUGCCACACUGACUUUGAGAGCAGUGGCUCUGUGAAACUCUCCAGCCCUCCGAGUUACGACUGCAAGAGGGCAGUUAAUAACCCAUUUUAAAGCCGUGGCUGCCCUGCAGCUGCAGGGACAGGGGUCACCUCCAAGUGCUAUGUGUCAGAGAGGAUGGCACGGAGGCUCCUGUUGGCAGCACAACACUGUGCUAGCUGCGCCCUGGCCACAUCUGCAGGGCUGGAGGAGCCGGGGGAUUCAGAUUUCCCCCAUGCCCCUUCAUGAGCCCAAAUCUGCUCCCAGCAGUUGCAGCCCCUCCAACCCUUUCUGCUAUGCCAGCCCCCCUUGGUGCAAAUGCUCCUGUCCCAUUCCUCAUCUUUGGCCCGUCACACUGAAUGCAACAUUCCCAAUUCGUGUUUGGCUGGGUGAUCCCUGCUUGUUCAGUUCUGCUGUGGGUUUGAGAGAGCACAGAGGUGAAAAAAACAGUGUGGCAACGGGAAAUGCAAACACAGGGCAAUUGUUGGACUGGCUAAUGUUUAAACAGCUCUUGGUAAGCCCCCUCCCUUGCUGCUUGCCCUCUCUACCCCUUCUAACAAGGGGACCCUUUCAACUCUUUGGCAGCUUCCCCAUCCUCCGGCUUCUGCUGCCCAUUUCAAAUCUCCAAAGGCAGGAGGAGGAAUGGCAGUGCUGCAAUUUUACAAUGUUUGCUUGCCCACUACAUCCUCCCAGGAUGGACUAUGCUUUUUCCCAGCCAGCCUUACAAAUCACCUUACUUAGAAAGAAGAAUUUGUUAGAGCAUGAUUGGUGCCCAGAUGACAAUGGGUUGUGGGGAAAACUGGAAAAAUAAUAACCCACCCUCACACCAUUCUUGUCAUGUGCACUCAUUGCUCCCCAUCCAACCCUUGUAGCUAGUAACUGCAGGAGAAACAGCCUUCACAGUGCAGCUGCACAGGUCUGUGUUUCCAGCACAUGGCAAAGAGGUCACAUCUGGUGGGUCUCUGAGAGGUGGAGACCUUGCUGGCGUUCCCCUUGCAAACCUCAGUACAAGGAAGAAGGUGAGAGGAGAGGAGGGGCUGUCUCCUGGGGCUCAGCUUGGCCCUAGGAUUGCUGCAUUUCUCGUGAGAUUUCCAGCAGUCUCAGAGCAUCUCAGCUUAGGAAUGGGGCAAGGGUGGGUUAGUAUCCUUGCUGCAGUGUCUGGCACGGAAUCUAUCUGUCUUCCCUCUCAGACCAGCCUCUCUUAAGGCGCUGCCCAUUUUCUUUUCAUCACAAGGGUGUGAUGGAAAGAGUAAGUCCAGGCUGGAAAGGGAUGAAAUAUUUCCAUGAUGACUCACCUCCACACGGCCACAAAACCUCAUGCAGGACAAAUAACUCAUCUGGGGCCCCCUCCUCCCUCCCGCUCCCUGUAAAACUCAAUUAGAGCAAAGAAGGUAGAGGAGAAAAACUGUUUUACUGAACCUUAGCAUCAGCAUUUCUUUUCAGCUUGUCUGCUUUGUGUCUGUAAUAAUUGCUAGGGUGUAAUGGGUGAAAACUGGAGCUUGAUUGCAGACAGGGAGAUGCUGAUGUGACAGUGCAUUUGAAGGGAGCAGUGGAGCAUGAGGCCAUAAACCUGUCGGGAGGUCACCGAAGGGGCUGCUCUGAGGAAUGAGAGCUCUGCUGGAGGUUUAUCACUGCGAUCCGAAGGAGCAUUUAAAGAAGCCCCUUCCGCCUGCACACUCUUGGAGCAGUCACAGCAUUAUCUUACAGAAACAUUGAGCCUCCUAGCUGUUCUGCAAGCCAUCCGUCUGUGCCCACGUGUUGAGUAGAGAUGUGGCAUCCCAGCACUCUGCAAGCGUCUGCAUCCCUUCGGAUGUGGCAAGUUGUUUCUGGUCCCUGGCACAAAGCGUUCCUGCAGUCAGCCUGGAUUAGGCCGUCUGGCUGGAGGAUGUGGGAGGCUGUAAAUGUCUGGGAGGUUAAUUCUGGCUGUUGAAAUUGGUUUUCUUCCUUUUAAUACUCAUUUCUGCAGAAGUUGCAUGUGAAAGCCUUCCUCGUGUCAUAUGUGAGUAAGGAGAGCGAAGUCAUGUGGAGAAAAUAGAGAAAGGCUGCAGUGACCAAAGCCCCAAGGGCUGGGCUUUUCCACCCACAGCAAAACAAAAUCCCAGCACUCACAAAGCUCAAGUGAGCUAUGAAGUGCCCCAGCAUUCAUGGACAUGUUCAGGUCUGAUGACUGGGAGCUCAAACUCCAGCCGGCAGUGAUGCCUGGAUGAUUCCUCAGUCAAUGAGCUUUAACACAUGGUCAUGGCUCUUUAGUUCCAGUGCCAAGAGGAGCCAAAGGCCUCCCAGAGCAGGCACAACUCGCUUCUGGGAGCAGAGCAGUCGCCCAGCGACCUCUCAUAGCCCUACUCAUGAGCCUGAUUCCACUGCUAAGGUCUUCCCUCAAUGGCAGGGCCUCAGGCACUAUCCCUGGCAGGCCUCAUUCCCUAUGGGGUGGAGAAUGAGCAUUCACACUGAAUGCCGGUGCUGUCUCCCUAGCUCAGCCACAGCCCAGCAGUGCAGGGCUGUCUGCAGCGGUCUGUGCCUAUGUGUGGCUUGUUUUGAGGAGCCACUGCCCUACUGGGAAGGGUGGAAGAAGGCUUCUGCCCAGGCUAGAGCUGCCAACACACAUUAAUGAGCACGGCCCCUGUCAGCACUUCAGGACAUACUCCAGCCUCCUGUUAUCUGCCACCUGAGGGCUGUGUAGAUGCAGGAAUCCUGACUCUGGUGGGAAAUCAAAGGGCUCUGCCUGAUAGCCCUGACUGUGCCAGGCGCAACACUUCAUACAGUGUGAUCCCCACAUUCAGCAGCCCCUCUGCCUGCUCAGCUCUUGUACAGGGGCUGAAAGAAGAAUACCUGCCUAUGCAUCAAAACAAAGAUUACUGUCUUGGUUGCAGGGAAAUGCCCUCUCCCUAUCCCUAGCACAUGGUCCAGCCCCAGGAGGGACAGCACCAAAGAGAGAGAGGUUUUCAAGAUGUGCAGGAGAUGGCUGGAUGGGAGCAGUGGCAACUUCCUAGGACAGGGGGAAACUGCUGUGUCUUUCUCUACCCUGUGCAACACUAGCUCUCAUGCUCCCUGGAGAGCCGCUGCAUCCUCCAGCAACUUGGCCUUUUCCCAGGACAAGUACUUGGGGCACAGAAAGCAUA